CAUGUGGGAGGUAAGUGGUAGAUCACAUAUAGCCGUGGUGCUUAGAUGUUAUUUACCUGCAAAUAUAUCCUAUUGGCCGGGUUGUGUGGUAGUUCGCGAUAGUGACAUCUUCGUUGAUUCUUAUAUAGUCCACCCUCCGUUGAUAGAACUGGCAGAAUUUGUAUUGCGGAGUAAGUCUUGCGAUGCUCUGAUUUACUUUAGCAAUGUUCCUUAUACAUGAAUGAAGAGUCUUUUAUGCUAUACAUGAUCUUGUAGAUAACUAGAGUAGAUUGUGACUUAGUAGAUAGUAGAUAACUUAGAAUUCAUUCUCUAGCUAAUCUGACGUCACCUUACAUAUAUGAGGAUUAGUCUAUUUUCUAAUUGCUAUGUUAUUUACCCAUGAACUUAUAAUUCAUUAUCCUUAUCUUUAUGGUUUACCCCCUGCCAGAGUAAGUGACUGUGUGACGAGUUCCUCAUUAGUAAUCAUGUCUUGCAAGUUGAUCUCUAGUCUAUGCCUUGAUAGAUUUUAUCUUUAUCUUCAUUUAAUCCUUUUUUCUCCUGAGCAAAAUUAUAAAUAGCGAUACCUAGAAUACUUACCUAGUGAAAUGCUACAAUGAGGUGUUUUAUCUGUGCGCUUGUGGAUAGAAUAGAUUAUUUUCUAGAGAGCCUCCAUAUUUAUAAAUCCCUUUGUACACUCUGGCACCAUGCUGGGGCUGACAACCUAGUAUCUAAGUGGUGUUAGUAAGUGUCAACACCCACUAAAGAGAAUAACAUUUAUUAGAGGAAGCUCAACAUGAUAACGGCUAAGAGAUUUUAUGCUAACACUUAACAAGUUCCACAAAGCUUUGUUGUCUAUUUGAGCUCCACAGAAUUCAAGGAUCAAAGAAGACUAACAGACGGAGGACAUCCUAAUUGCUAUCAGGGUGCUGCCGACAUUCAAAUACACCUCCAUCACCUGCUAGCUACAUCAUAAGAAAUUACAUCAAAAUUCGGCUUGGGGGAGAGCAUCCCCAUUUAUCUAGCUAAGUGUUUCUACUCGCAUUUAUACUUUACUCAAAUAAUAAAAAGAUGCAUAAUCAUAAAAACCUAAAUAAAGAUUUUAUGCUUAUAUAGAUAUAUUUGCUUCGUUUGCUAAAUAAAUAAAGUUUGCUAUGAACCCUCAUGAUAAGCUCUCACAUGGAAAUAAUGAAUAGUUGCUCUGCCAUGACUAGUUCUCAAAAUUGAAUUUUCUCUCAAGUUUAGGCAUGACUGUUAUGAAUUAAGAUUUGCUCUAAACCUGAACAUGUGGGAAGAGUACUUGAUCUAAAGUCUAAGUCGUUAACGGAUAUGAUAUGGGAAGGUUGAGCUGCUGUUUACCUGUUCCUAGAGAUGCUAGAAUUCUGGAGAAUUUUAUCUUUGAACAUUUUUAAAAUGUUGCAUGAUGAGUUCCUAUAUGAUGAGAGUUUAAAAUCAUACCCCAGCCACAUAUACAUGCUUAUUAGACUAUGAACCAUACAUUUACUUUUUACUACUUAUGAGCAUUGAGUGUGGUCAAGCUAUGUAGACCCUUAGGAGCUUGUCAUGCGGUUAAAAUCAAGAUUCACUUGCACGUUCACUCAUACAUGCUGCUUCUACUCCAGAAGUACGCAUCCACAUACAUCCACUAUUUCCAUCUCUAGAUUCACCCAAAAUUAUUCUACUCCUAUCUAGGAGAGAAUAGCCAAAAAAUUAUCCCAUUCCUGUUUUCCCUGUGAAAUAAAUGCUCGAGAUAUUUUGGUUACUACCACUUGCUACAUUAUUCCAGGAGGGUGAGUGCUCUAAAAAAAGAGAAAAAAAGAAAAAAUAAAGUGAAUACGAGGAAAUAAAAAGGGACAAGUGCCCGGAACCUCGAAAGAAAAGAAAAAGUGAGACGAGAGGUAAAAAUGGACAAGUGUCCGACAGUAGAAUCAGGGGUACAAGAUACCCAGCUGAGAGAAAAGAAAAAGGAAAUAUAGAGCAUCUCAUUCUCCUCAAAAAGCUUCAUAGUGCAAGAAAGGUCUGUAUCCCCUCAAAAGAGCAAAAGUAGAAUUAGACUUUCACCAUUGUUUUCACCAUCAUCACCAUACACCAUUUAUUCGCCACACAUGCACAUCUUGAUAUUGACUUAUUGACUUGUUUCUCUGGACCCAUGGUUUGACUAUGUAAUAAAUGUCUUGUAAGUAUGUAUACUUUAUCUCCCACCUAUGAGCUCCAGAUAUCAAACCUUGUUAGAGUAGGGUGAGAGAGAAGGCAAUGUCACUAUGCCUCAUACCAGAAAUACCACAUACUUUGAGAGAAGGCAUAUACCAUCACUGCCUUGGUAAGGAUCCAGAAAUACCAUAAAAUAGAGAUCUGAGAGAGUCAUACAAAGUAAUCUCUGAGUUUUAUUUUGAAAAUCUACAAAAAACUCUAGAGCUAUAGCUAAUCAAGAAUAAGAGACAUGGCGCUUGACUAGACUAUUCUAUCUUUUAACUACUCAAGACACAAGUGACGGUUGCAAGCCCCAUGGUGGAAGGUAAUAUGAGUAAGUUUAAAUCUUAACAGUUUAUCCUAACCUAGAGAUGAGAUCUUGUUUGAAUGCAUGUGUACCUUUAAGGCAUGAAACCACUACAGAAACUCUUGAGUCCAUCCUUACUGAGGAACGAGCAAGAGGUAAGCUUGGGGGAGUUUCUUGACAGUGCUUAAGUAUCAAAUUUAACCAUUGAAUAAAUAAAGAAAAGGAUCCAAAUGCAACUAACACCAAGACUUAGUGUUUUAUCUAACAGAAUUCCAUGAGUUUUGGUGUUUCUCUAUUUCUGCAGGGGGUUAUCAGGAAAUAUGGAGGAAAGGCCCACACGUCGGGUUUACAUAGAGAUAUUAACGUGCUGCGCAAUUUUCUAUCAUCUAGAAGACUCUAGAAACAAUGGGAACGAACGGGAAGCCGAGCGGGCUCGGGGGCAGGGCGCCCGCCCUGCCCCCUUGGGCGUCCGCCCAGCUACAAGGACCAAUCAGGCUCCGUCUCACGGAUUAUGCUCCACCGCCAUUGAGGAUCAAGGAAAACCAUGCGAUUAAGGUCGGUUUGAUCCGACGGCCCACAUUCAUUUGGAGGGGCUAUAUAAGCAGACCCCUUGGCCCCUGGAGGAGGCACCCCUUGAUCCCUAUUCAUUAUUCAUGGACAGAGCAAAAUCUAGGGUUUGGAGAUGAGAGCUCUCCUCUCUUCUCUAAACUAGAGUAGAUCUAGAUAGUAGCGAGAUGGAGAGCAAGGGAGGAUUGGAGGAGAGGCUGGCCUGUCGGUUCUUCCUCCGGUUGUACUUCGCCAUGAUCAAGCUCUAAUCAAGCUUGCUCAUGGGAUGACUCUGGUAAUCUACUUAUAUUUCAUUAUGCAAUUAUUAUUCAUGUAUGUUCUGGUUCACAACUCUUUUGAGUACUUUUAAUUUAUAGGACCC
rnacentral:lncRNA from 1 species